rnacentral:rRNA from 1 species
UACGUAGGGUGCAAGCGUUGCUCGGAAUCACUGGGCGUAAAGGGUGCGUAGGCGGGAUCUUAAGUCAGAGGUGAAAGCCUGGAGCUCAACUCCAGAACUGCCUUUGAUACUGGGAUUCUUGAGUUCGGGAGAGGUGAGCGGAACUGCGAGUGUAGAGGUGAAAUUCGUAGAUAUUCGCAAGAACACCAGUGGCGAAGGCGGCUCACUGGCCCGAUACUGACGCUGAGGCACGAAAGCGUGGGUAGCAAACAGG